UACGGGGGGGGCAAGCGUUGUUCGGAAUUACUGGGCGUAAAGGGCGCGUAGGCGGCCUGCUAAGUCGGACGUGAAAUCCCCCGGCUCAACCGGGGAACUGCGUCCGAUACUGGUGGGCUCGAAUCCGGGAGAGGGAUGUGGAAUUCCAGGUGUAGCGGUGAAAUGCGCAGAUAUCAGGAGGAACACCUAUUGCGAAGGCAGCUCGCUGGGACGUUACUGACGCUGAGACGCGAAAGCGUGGGGAGCAAACAGG
rnacentral:rRNA from 1 species